UACGUAGGGGGCAAGCGUUGUCCGGAUUUAUUGGGCGUAAAGAGCGUGUAGGCGGCCAGACAGGUCAGCUGUGAAAACUCGAGGCUCAACCUCGAGACGUCGGUUGAAACCGUCUGGCUAGAGUCCGGAAGAGGAGAGUGGAAUUCCCGGUGUAGCGGUGAAAUGCGCAGAUAUCGGGAAGAACACCAAUGGCGAAGGCAGCUCUCUGGGACGGUACUGACGCUGAGACGCGAAAGCGUGGGGAGCGAACAGG
rnacentral:rRNA from 1 species